AAUUGACUUUGUGAUCAUUACAGAAAUGCUGGUGUAAGGUGUUCAGAAGACAAUGGAGAAAAAAUGGAAAUACUGUGCUGUCUAUUACAUCAUCCAGAUACAUUUUGUCAAGGGAGUUUGGGAAAAAACAGUCAACACAGAAGAAAAUGUUUAUGCUACACUUGGCUCUGAUGUCAACCUGACCUGCCAAACACAGACAGUAGGCUUCUUCGUGCAGAUGCAAUGGUCCAAGGUCACCAAUAAGAUAGACCUGAUUGCUGUCUAUCAUCCCCAAUACGGCUUCUACUGUGCCUAUGGGAGACCCUGUGAGUCACUUGUGACUUUCACAGAAACUCCUGAGAAUGGGUCAAAAUGGACUCUGCACUUAAGGAAUAUGUCUUGUUCAGUCAGUGGAAGGUACGAGUGUAUGCUUGUUCUGUAUCCAGAGGGCAUUCAGACUAAAAUCUACAACCUUCUCAUUCAGACACACGUUACAGCAGAUGAAUGGAACAGCAACCAUACGAUAGAAAUAGAGAUAAAUCAGACUCUGGAAAUACCAUGCUUUCAAAAUAGCUCCUCAAAAAUUUCAUCUGAGUUCACCUAUGCAUGGUCGGUGGAAAACAGCAGCACGGAUUCUUGGGUCCUUCUUUCUAAGGGUAUAAAGGAGGAUAAUGGAACUCAGGAAACACUUAUCUCCCAAAAUCACCUCAUCAGCAAUUCCACAUUACUUAAAGAUAGAGUCAAGCUUGGUACAGACUACAGACUCCACCUCUCUCCAGUCCAAAUCUUCGAUGAUGGGCGGAAGUUCUCUUGCCACAUUAGAGUCGGUCCUAACAAAAUCUUGAGGAGCUCCACCACAGUCAAGGUUUUUGCUAAACCAGAAAUCCCUGUGAUUGUGGAAAAUAACUCCACGGAUGUCUUGGUAGAGAGAAGAUUUACCUGCUUACUAAAGAAUGUAUUUCCCAAAGCAAAUAUCACAUGGUUUAUAGAUGGAAGUUUUCUUCAUGAUGAAAAAGAAGGAAUAUAUAUUACUAAUGAAGAGAGAAAAGGCAAAGAUGGAUUUUUGGAACUGAAGUCUGUUUUAACAAGGGUACAUAGUAAUAAACCAGCCCAAUCAGACAACUUGACCAUUUGGUGUAUGGCUCUGUCUCCAGUCCCAGGAAAUAAAGUGUGGAACAUCUCAUCAGAAAAGAUCACUUUUCUCUUAGGUUCUGAAAUUUCCUCAACAGACCCUCCACUGAGUGUUACAGAAUCUACCCUUGACACCCAACCUUCUCCAGCCAGCAGUGUAUCUCCUGCAAGAUAUCCAGCUACAUCUUCAGUGACCCUUGUAGAUGUGAGUGCCUUGAGGCCAAACACCACUCCUCAACCCAGCAAUUCCAGUAUGACUACCCGAGGCUUCAACUAUCCCUGGACCUCCAGUGGGACAGAUACCAAAAAAUCAGUUUCACGGAUACCUAGUGAAACAUACAGUUCAUCCCCGUCAGGUGCAGGCUCAACACUUCAUGACAAUGUCUUUACCAGCACAGCCAGAGCAUUUUCAGAAGUCCCCACAACUGCCAAUGGAUCUACGAAAACUAAUCACGUCCAUAUCACUGGUAUUGUGGUCAAUAAGCCCAAAGAUGGAAUGUCCUGGCCAGUGAUUGUAGCAGCUUUACUCUUUUGCUGCAUGAUAUUGUUUGGUCUUGGAGUGAGAAAAUGGUGUCAGUACCAAAAAGAAAUAAUGGAAAGACCUCCACCUUUCAAGCCACCACCACCUCCCAUCAAGUACACUUGCAUUCAAGAGCCCAACGAAAGUGAUCUGCCUUAUCAUGAGAUGGAGACCCUCUAGUCUCGUGAGACUUUGCCCCAUGGCAGAACUCUGCUGGAAUCCUAUUGAGAAGGAGAACUCCUCAGCUUGAUAACAUGAUUUGUUUUGCAAUGGAAUAUCAUGGGCACGACUAACCCAAGGCUUGAAAAGUACUUCUAUGAUUGGAUUCACUCUCUUCUUUUCUACCAUCACCAUGAGAAGAUCGUUUUCAGACUAGCCUACUGUGCCAAGAAGAAAAAGAAAGGCUCAUGGAGCAGUACCACCCAAGGCUGGUCCAGUCCAGAUCAGCAAAACUCACAGCCUACCUCAACAGGCACAUAAGUUAGAUAUUAUUGCAUGCCACUGAAAUUGUGUGGUUAUUACACAACAUUGUAGCAAUAGUUAACCUACACAUAUAGAUCCAGAGGUAGGCAUAUUUUAGCUCAUACGUAAGUGCCUAAUGCGUGCUUUAUUUUUUUAAAAAAAUAGUAUUUUCUAUUUUCUUUGGUUCAGCAUGAGUUUUGUUUUAACAAGAAGAUAUGGUUGACUUCCCCAAAAUAACUUUGCAUUUAUAGAUCUUUAAAAAUCAUAGAACAUUUGACCAGGAUGGGUUUUAGAGGUCGUUUUACAAAAUGAGUUAAGGGUUCUGUGAAAUUGACUUGUCCAAGGUCACACAAUUAGAAAUGGUAAAACCAACGUGAUGACCCAGCUCUCUGAUUUCUAGCCUAGAGUGUAAUCAAUAUUUAAUUGCUUUGGUAUCUCCUUUUACUAUAGACAAGAGCUGCUGCUUUGUGUGCUUUUAGGUCAAUAUUUUUUUUUUACACUUGAUCUUAGCCAAAAGGCUGAGAAGCGAUAAUUUUUUUUUUUUAUGCCUUGGUAGUAUAUGCUAAAAAUUGUAACAGAAAACAAUGAAAAGUAGAAAUAAUUAACCCUGGGGGAUGGGAAGCUCUAAAAAAUGUCAAAGAAAAUGAGGAAAUGAAAGAGAAAAGAGAUUAAUCAAGAUCAGAAGUUGAAAAGAAAGUUUAGAGAAACUUACUAAGGCCAGAGAUAAUGAAAAAUGUCUCAGAGGCUCUGAACAGGGGAAGAGGUCCUUAAAGGUAGCCCUCUUGGCACCCAGACUUAGGAGGGUGGCUUUGAACCUGAAGGUUGAAUCUUCAGAAAUAUAGAAACUUUGUUCUCUCUGAGACGAGGGCUGAAAUGCAUAGCCUAACCGACUGUUUGACAACAGCAAUCAUGGCUGUGUCAACCAGCUAAAGGAUGGGUGUCCACAUUAACUGGCAGAAACACAUAGUGAGAAUUGGGGAAUCAAGGCAGUUAUUUCCCAGCUCCUGCAAAGGUACCUUUUUCCUGGAUUUCCUCGAUUACUAACAAAGGCACCAUGCUCCAGCCAGGAAGGCAUGACCAGAAAGCAGGAUACUAUGACCUUAAGCUAGGUCAGGGCCAGGGAACACUUUUGGAAUUAUUGUUAAAGCUUGAAUGGUGCAUCUGUGAUGGGUCUUGAUAUUUUGUGGGUGCAAAUAACACAGAAAUGGGAACAAUAGAAUCUAAAUUUUUCUCCUCAGACAGCAUCUUUGUAUCCUCCAAUCUCUGUUAUCCAAAUCUCCAAACUCUUUCCUGUUCUGCACACUCAGGUUCCUCAUAUUUGUUCAAAGACUGUGGCAUUGUGAUUGUGGGGAGGGACACUGGGGGGAAUAAUAGGGAAGAGCAACAAACCCAAUAUCACAACAUAAAGAAGAGAGCAUGGCUGGGGCCAUAUCCAGCUACCCUGGGUGAAUGCCACAAACUUAUGCACAUUUGCCCUGAGUUUUGUCAGACUAUACCCCAUUUACUGUCCAAAGAAGAUAUAUCACCAAAUAAAAUUGGCUACAGCAUUAUGCCAUUCAACUAUCACCAGAAAGUACUUAAAAGUGCCAAGAAGGUAGGCUGGAGGGGAUAGAACAACAGUUACAUGAAUCCUGCAGAGAAGUUUGAUAGUGGACCUCAUAUCCUGAGAGCCAUGUAUAAGAGUUAACCUCUCUAUUCUGCAUUUUCUCUCUUCAAAGCUUAAAUAUCUGUUAAGGCUGAAUGGGAAGAUGAUCAGGGAUCUGAGAAUUCCAUCUAUGGUAGAAUCAUUUUUGCAUCACUGGUUUGAGAUAAGCCUAAUUCCACUCUUACAGAUAAUUGGGUUGCAUUGGAUUUUUCUUAUACAUAAAGCCAUUGCACUGAUUCAAAGGGACAUGCUUUGGUGACUAACGAAUCUGAAAUCUAACACAGUAAUAAAUAAGAAUUGAUUUUAAUUUUGUGGCUAGUUACUAGAAAAGUCUGACAAGCACUUUUCCUGAAUACCUCUUUUCGAUGGCCAGUUUAGGGUUUGUAGAUUCCACACUCAUGAAAUUGAUAUUAAAAAAAUCUAAGAACUACUUAUUGCCUUCAGUGAAUGUAAAAUUUAAUGGAAGAGAGAGACAUUUAAACAAAUAUAUACAGUACAGUGUUACAGAUAUAAAAAUUAAGUUAUGCGCAAAGAAGAGAAAAUAAUAAAGAAAAAGGUAUGAUUUCAGGGACAACAUAUGAGAAAUACUUUUAAAGGCUUCAGAAAGGAGGCUGUCAAUAGAGGCAAGGCCACUGCAGUAGAGACCCUGAUAUCUGAGACAUAGUGAUGGGACUUGAAAACAUUACCUAAGGGUUAUACCAAGAAUGUAAGAAGCAUCUGAUGAUAGAAAAUUGCUUAAUAUAAUUUACCAUAUAAAUAGAACUAAGGAGAAAAAGGAUAGGAAUAAUCUCCAUAGCUGUUUAAAAAAUCUUUGGCAAAAUUCAACACCCAUUCCUACUAAAAACUCUUGAGAAAAAGGGAUAUUUUCUUAACUACAUAUAUACAUAAUACAUGCAUGCAAAUCUAUCUACAGCUGUAUUUGUAGAUACAUAUAUAUGUACAGUUAUAGUAUAUAAAUACUAUAUAUAGUUUUAUAUAUAUGUAUGCAUAUAUACAUAUACUAUUCUCUAUGGUAUACAUCUAUAUAACUGCAAUUGUAUGAAUAUAUAUGCAAUGAAAGAAAAGAUGGAUAAAUUUAGCUACUUAAGAAUAAAAAUAUUCAUGAGAGAGAAAGCAAAGUCAAAGGACAAAUAAUAAAGUAAGUGAAAAUAUUUACAACAUAUAUCACAGAUGAUAUAUCAAUAUACAUACCUUUAUCAAUAUACUUAGUUGAUAAAGAACUUACAAAUAUUGAGGAUAAAAAACUGAAAAAUCCUAUGAAAAAUGGGCUAAAGCCAUGAACAAAUAAUUCACACACAAAAAUUAAAAUGACUCUUAAUCAUUUGAAAAACAUGAAAUGUAUUCAUAAUAAAAGAAAUCAAAAUUUAAAAAUGUACUGAGACAUCAGUUCUUCUCCAUUUAGUUGUCAUGAAUUUCAAGUUUGACAAUAUUGUCCGUUAUCAAGGCUUUGGGGAAAACAUGCACACUCAUAUACUGCUGAAGGGAGUGCAAAAUGGUGCCACCAAUAUUGAGAAGAAUAUGAUGAUAUCUAACAAAACUAUAUAUUAAUUUAUUCAUUGACAUUGUAAUUCAUCUUCAGGAAUUCACCAUGAAACUCAGCCUCCAACAAUAUCAGAAUAUAUAUGCACAAGAUUAUUUUGGUAUCAUUAUGUGUAUUCACAAAGUAUUUGAAAUUAUCUAAAUGUCCAAUAUAGGAGAUUGGUUGAAUAAAAUGUAGUAAAUACACAAAAUAGAGUUAAUGUGCAGUUGUAAAAACAAAAAAGAAGAAAAUCUCUAUCAACUGAUAUUGAGUGAUUUCCAGAGAUAUUAUUAAGGGAAAAAGGUGAAGUACAAAGAGCAUGUAAUAUGCUACCUUUGUGUAAGAAAGAAGGAAAAAUUAAAAAAAUGAAAUAUGUAUAUGCCUAUUUUUACAAAAAGGAACAGGAGAGAUAAAUCAAGAAAUGCUGGAGUUGAGGGGUAAAGAAGGAAGAGUGUGACGGAUAUAUGGAGAAGUGUCCUUUCCUGCAUAUACCUUUCUGUAUAAUUUUGUCUGAAAAAAAGAAUAUUAGUAUUCUAUGUAUUAAAAUAAUAAAAUUAAAUAAAUAAGAACAGGAAAAAAAACUAAAACUGAAAGAAAACUAUUUGUAUUUUAAAUAAAUACCAUAAGCACACUGAAAGAGAAAAAAGAAAGAAAAAACUAAUCCAGGCCAGGUGGAUUAGUUUUUAGGAAAAACUAAUCCAAUCCAGGCUCACACCUGUAAUCCCAGCAUUUUGGGAGGCCAAGGUGGGCAGAUCACGAAGUCAGGAGUUUGAGACCAGCCUGGCCAACAUGGUGAAACCCCAUCUCUACUAAAAAUACAAAAAUUAGCCAGGCAUGGUGGCAUGUGCCUGUAGUCCCAGCUACUCAGGAGGCUGAGGCAGGAGAAUCACUUGAACCCAGGAGGUGGAGGUUGUGGUGAGCUAUCACACCGCUGCACUCCAGACUGGGCAACAGAGUAAGACUCCAUUUCAAAAAAAAAAAAACCUAAUUCAAGUAGCUAGGAACACAAAAUUUGACUAUAUAUUUGACUAUAUACCCCAGUCUCGUGUAGGGUGGGGUGGGGGUGGUGGGAACAAGGUGAGAAUUGUAAGCAAAUCUGGAAGGCUUGGUAGUAAGAUUUUUUUAUUGUAAUGAUAUAAGCAAAGCAAUUUUGAAACAUUGUUCUGUAUUAUAAGAUUAUGUAAAUGUGUUGUCAUUGGGUGCCCAGGUUCUCAUUGAGGGAAAAGGAACAUAUAAAUAUGGAAUAAGGAAAGACUGGAAAGAACCCUGUGUAGAUGCAGGGAUGGAGUCAAAUUGGCAGUAUCAAUGCAAACUCAUGAUUUCCACAAUAUGUGUGUGUAUAUGUGUGUGUGUGUGCAUGUGUAUGCGCAUGAAGGUUAGUGUCCUUCCCAAGCAUCACAUCUGGAGACCCAUGAUGUCCACCUGUCCUUCACUGGUAAUCUUAAUCUUAAUCACGUCUGUGUGUAAAUGUGCUUGAGCAUGCAUAUGUGUUUUGCAUUGCAAAUAUGUAUAUGUGCCUAUAUUUCCCAGAUGUGCCUUUUGAAAGGACUAAGAAAGAAAGAUAUCCCGGUAGCAAAGAGCAUACCUAGCAUCCGCAUCUUGGUCUUCAGUAUAAUUUCCUGCUGAAAGGAACUGAACUCAGAGAAAUGUCUAAGGACAAAGUAAACAUAAGUGAACUUGAAAUACUUUGUUAGGUCAGAAAAUAAGAACAUAGUCCAAAAACUGCUAGGGUAUGUCAGAAGGAUAUAGGAGUCAGUUUGAAAGGACUCCCACUGUAUACAUCUAGGAAAAUUUGACUAUCGAUAUAGUUAAGUAUAUUAAUGAGUUAGAAACCAUUGAGAAAAGCAGGAAUUCAUGAGUCCUUACCAGUAGUAAGUGAUAGCUAUAUAGAUAGGUAGAUAGGUAGUCAGAGAGAGACAGAGAGAGAAAGGAGGGCUCUCACCUAUAGCAAAACUUCAAGAGCAGAUUAAGAAAUACGAAGGGAGUGCUGAAAUUCAGAAGUUAUCAUUUUGUAAUCAGCAUAAUAAAGAUUGCAUCAGGCUAGAAUCAUCAAUGGAUACUAAGUUGAGGAAAUUUUGAUGAAGAUCAGGAUAUAUGCAUGGUCUCUAAGUGCCUCCCUGUAAAAUCUUAUUGGUUACACAGGAGAAACAGAAACAGUAACUAUGCAGUGGAGAAAUUAGACAAGAACUUGACCAAGUGAUCAAAAUUAAUAUCAUCAGUGAGAGAGACAGGGAUCUUGUGCUCCUCCAAAUGUAAUACUCUGGGAAGGAUACAAUAUCACCUAUGGAGUAUUAGGGCAGAGAAUAACCAAACUAAAUCUAAUCACAAAGUAGCAUCAAAUAAAUACAAAAUAAGAUAUAUUCUAUUGUGUCUGUGUUCAUCAGGGAUAUUGGCCUGAAGUUCUCUUUUUUCAUUGUGUCUCUGCCAGAUUUUGGUAUCAGUCUGAUGCUGGCUUCAGAGAAUGAGUUAGGGAAAAGCCCCUCCUCCUCAAUUUUCUGGAAUAGUUUCAGUAGGAUCGUGUCAGUUCUUUGUACAUCUGGUAGAAUUUGGCUGUGAAUCCAUUGGGUCCAGGGCUUCUUUUGCUUUGUAGGUUCUUUGUUACUAAUUCAAUUUCAGAAGUUGAUAUUAGUCUAUUCAAGAUUUCAAUUGCUUCCUGAUUUAAUCUUGGGAGAUUGUGUGUUUCCAGAAAUUUAUCCAUUUCCUCUAGAUUUUCUAACUUCUGUGCAUAUAGUUGAUCAUAGUCCCUGAGGAUCUUUUGUAUUUACGUGGGAUCAGUUGUAAUAUUGUUUCUGAUUGUUCUUAUUUGAAUCUUCUCUUUCCUUUUCUUUGUUAAUCUUGCUACCAGUCUAUCAAUCUCUUAUUUUAUUUUUUUGAAGAACCUACUUUUUGUUUCAUGGAUCUUUUGCAUCUCAACUUCAUUAAGCUCUUCUCUAAUUUUAAUUAUUUUUUUACUUCUGUUAGCUUUGGGGUUGGUUUUCUAUUCUUUUAGGUGCAGAAUUAGACUGCUAAUUUUUAGAUGUUUCUAACUUCUUGAUGAAAGCAUUUAGGACUUUAAACUUUCCUCUUAACACUGCUUUGGCUGCAUCCCAGAGAUUUUGGUAACUUGUAAACCUAUUUUCAUUAGUUGCAAGGAAUUUUUUUAUUUUACCCAGUAGUUAUUCAGGAGGAAGUUCUUUAAUUUCCAAAAAUAUUAGCAAACCAAAUCUAGCAGCACAUCAAAAAGUUAACAUACCAUAAUCAAGUAGGCUUUAUUUCUGGGAUGCAAGGCUGGUUUAACAUAUUCAUACCAAUAAAUAGGAUUCACCACAUAAACAGAAUUAAAAGCAAGAGACAUAUGAUCAUCUCAAUAGAUACAGAAAAAGCUUAAGAUAAAAUCCAACAUUCUUUCAUGAAAAAAUUCCUCAACAGAUUAGGCAUCAAAGGAACAUACAUCAAAAUAAUAGGAGUUAUACAUGCCCAACCCACAGCCAACAUCAUACUGAAUAGGCAAAAGCUCAAGCCAUUCCCCUUGAGAACUGAAACAAGACAAGUAUGUCCAUUCUCACCACUCCUGUUAUACAUAGUGCUGGAAGUCCUAGCCAGAGCAAUCAGGCAAGAGAAAGAAACAAAAGCCAUCCCAAUAGUGAAAGAAGUCAAACUAUCUCUCUUCACUUAUGGCAUGACUCUGUAUAGAAAAUCCUAAAGACUCUGCCAGAAGGCUCCUACAACUCACAGACUAGUAUAAUUUCAGGUCACAGAAUCAGUGUAUAAAUCAGUAGCAUUUCUAUGCACCAGAAACAUCCAGGCUGCGAGUGAAAUCAAGAACACAAACCCACUUACAAUAGCUAUGAAGAAAACAAAAUACCUAGGAAUACUGCUAACCAAGGAAGUGAACAAUCUCUACAAGAAAAACUACAAAACACUGUUGAAAGAAAUCAGAGAUGACACAAAUAAAUGGAAAAACAUGCCAUGCUCAUAGAUUGGAAUAAUCAAUAUUUUUUAAAUGGCCAUACUAGCCAGAGAAAUUUGCAUAUUCAAUGCUAUUUCUAUCAAACUACCAAAGUUAUUCUUCACAGAAUUAGAAAAAAAAACUAUUCUAACAUCUAUAUGGAAGCAAAAACAAGGCUGAAUAGCCAAAGCAAUCCAAAACAAAAAGAACAAAGCUGGAGGCAUCACACUA